AUGAAUUGUCUUGUGUGGAACUGUCGAGGGGCGGGGAACCCUCGCACAGUUCGAGAUUUGCAGGCUCUUUGUAGAGUCAAUUCCCCAAGGAUGGUGUUCUUAUGUGAGACUAGGCAAAAAAAUAAAAUGAUCAGACUUCGGAAUCGGUUAGGGCUCCGUGGUUUUGAUGGUAUCAGUAGUCAAGGAAAAAGUGGAGGUUUAGCGUUGUACUGGGACGAUUCGAUGUAC
rnacentral:rRNA from 1 species